GACGAACGCUGGCGGCGUGCCUAAUACAUGCAAGUAGAACGCUGAAGAGAGGAGCUUGCUCUUCUUGGAUGAGUUGCGAACGGGUGAGUAACGCGUAGGUAACCUGCCUUGUAGCGGGGGAUAACUAUUGGAAACGAUAGCUAAUACCGCAUAACAAUGGAUGACACAUGUCAUUUAUUUGAAAGGGGCAAUUGCUCCACUACAAGAUGGACCUGCGUUGUUUUAGCUAGUAGGUGAGGUAAUGGCUCACCUAGGCGACGAUACAUAGCCGACCUGAGAGGGUGAUCGGCCACACUGGGACUGAGACACGGCCCAGACUCCUACGGGAGGCAGCAGUAGGGAAUCUUCGGCAAUGGGGGCAACCCUGACCGAGCAACGCCGCGUGAGUGAAGAAGGUUUUCGGACCGUAAAGCUCUGUUGUAAGUCAAGAACGGGUGUGAGAGUGGAAAGUUCACACUGUGACGGUAGCUUACCAGAAAGGGACGGCUAACUACGUG
rnacentral:rRNA from 1 species